GACGAACGCUGGCGGCGUGCUUAACACAUGCAAGUCGAGCGGUAAGGCCCUUUCGGGGGUACACGAGCGGCGAACGGGUGAGUAACACGUGGGUGACCUGCCCUCAGCUCUGGGAUAAGCCUGGGAAACCGGGUCUAAUACUGGAUAUGACUCCAUGACGCAUGUUGUGGGGUGGAAAGCCUUGUGCGGCUGAGGAUGGGCCCGCGGCCUAUCAGCUUGUUGGUGGGGGAUGGCCUACCAAGGCGACGACGGGUAGCCGGCCUGAGAGGGCGACCGGCCACACUGGGACUGAGACACGGCCCAGACUCCUACGGGAGGCAGCAGUGGGGAAUCUUGCGC
rnacentral:rRNA from 1 species